GACGAACGCUGGCGGCGUGCUUAACACAUGCAAGUCGAACGGAAAGGCCCUGCUUUUGUGGGGUGCUCGAGUGGCGAACGGGUGAGUAACACGUGAGUAACCUUCCCUUGACUUUGGGAUAACUUCAGGAAACUGGGGCUAAUACCGGAUAGGAGCUCCUGCUGCAUGGUGGGGGUUGGAAAGUUUCGGCGGUUGGGGAUGGACUCGCGGCUUAUCAGCUUGUUGGUUGGGUAGUUGCUUACCAAGGCUUUGAAGGGUAGCCGGCCUGAGAGGGUGACCGGCCACAUUGGGACUGAGAUACGGCGCAGACUCGUACGGGAGGCAGCAGUGGGGAAUAUUGCACAAUGGGCGCAAGCGUGAUGCAGAAACGCCGCGUGCGGGAUGACGGCCUUCGGGUUGUAAACCGCUUUCGCCUGAGACGAAGCGUGAGUGACGGUAAUGGGUAAAGAAGCACCGGCUAACUACGUG
rnacentral:rRNA from 1 species